rnacentral:rRNA from 1 species
UACAGAGGUCUCAAGCGUUGUUCGGAUUCAUUGGGCGUAAAGGGUGCGUAGGCGGCGCGGUAAGUCGGGUGUGAAAUUUCGAGGCUUAACUUCGAAACUGCAUUCGAUACUGCCGUGCUAGAGGACUGGAGAGGAGACUGGAAUUUACGGUGUAGCGGUGAAAUGCGUAGAUAUCGUAAGGAAGACCAGUGGCGAAGGCGGGUCUCUGGACAGUUCCUGACACUGAGGCACGAAGGCCAGGGGAGCAAACGGG